rnacentral:rRNA from 1 species
CCUACGGGUGGCAGCAGUGGGGGAUAUUGCACAAUGGGGGGAACCCUGAUGCAGCGACGCCGCGUGGGUGAAGAAGGGCUUCGGCGCGUAAAGCCCUGUCAGCAGGGAAGAAAAUGACGGUACUUGAUGAAGAAGCCCCGGCUAACUACGUGCCAGCAGCCGCGGUAAUACGUAGGGGGCAAGCGUUAUCCGGAUUUACUGGGGGUAAAGGGGGCGGAGUCGGCGAUGCAAGCCAGGAGUGAAAGCCCGGGGCUCAACCCCUGGACUGCUCUUGAAACUGCGUGGUUUGAGUGCAGGAGGGGCAGGCGGAAUUCCUGGUGUAGCGGUGAAAUGCGUAGAUAUUAGGAGGAACACCAGUGGCGAAGGCGGCCUGCUGGACUGCAACUGACGCUGAGGCCCGAAAGCGUGGGGAGCAAACAGGAUUAGAUACCCGUGUAGUC